GACGAACGCUGGCGGCGUGCUUAACACAUGCAAGUCGAACGGCAACGCCCUACUUUCUUGGUCUGCUCGAGUGGCGAACGGGUGCGUAACACGUGAGUAACCUGCCCUUCACUUUCGGAUAACUUCAGGAAACUGGGCCUAAUACCGGAUAGCAGCUCCCGCUGCAUGGUGGGCGUUGGAAAGUUUCGGCGGUCGGGGAUGGACUCGCGGCUUAUGGGCUUGUUGGUUGGGGAGUGGCUUACCAAGGGUUUGGCGGGUCGCCGGCCUGGGAGGGGGACCGGCCACAUGGGGCCUACGGGACGGCGCAGAGUCCUACGGGAGGCAGCAGUGGGAAAUAUUGCACAAUGGGCGGAAGCCUGAUGCAGAGGCGCCGCGUGCGUGAUGACGGCCUUCGGGUUGUAAACAGCUUUAGCCUGUGACGAAGCGUGAGUGACGGUAAUGGGUAAAGAAGCACCGGCUAACUACGUG
rnacentral:rRNA from 1 species